rnacentral:misc_RNA from 1 species
UCCGGCUUAUCACCGGCAGUCCCCUUAGAGUGCCCAACUAAAUGAUGGCAACUAAGGGCGAGGGUUGCGCCACUUAAGGCAACACCUCACGGCACGAGCUGACGACAGCCAUGCAGCACCUGUACGGGCUCCCGAAGGAGGACCGGCUUUCACCGGCUUCACCCCGCAUGUCAAGCCCUGGUAAGGUUCUUCGCGUUGCGUCGAAUUAAACCACAUGCUCCGCUGCUUGUGCGGGCCCCCGUCAAUUCCCUUGAGUUUUAGCCUUGCGGCCGUACUCCCCAGGCGGGGCAUUUAAUGCGUUAGCGCCGGCACGGGAGGAGUCGACACCUCCCACACCUAAUGCCCAUCGUUUACGGCGUGGACUAC